AUUCCAUGGUUUGGACACUUUCUCAUCAACUUAUUAAAUCUAUUCCAUGCCUCUUGAUAGCUCUUUCCAUCUCUUUGUUGAAAAGUUUGAAUAUCCAAUUUGAUUUU
rnacentral:snoRNA from 1 species